AUUGAACGCUGGCGGCAGGCUUAACACAUGCAAGUCGAACGAGUGGCGGACGGGUGAGUAAUGCUUGGGAAUCUAGCUUAUGGAGGGGGAUAGCUACGGGAAACUGUAGCUAAUACCGCGUACCAUAGGAUGAGCCCAAGUGGGAUUAGGUAGUUGGUGAGGUAAAGGCUCACCAAGCCGACGAUCUCUAGCUGGUCUGAGAGGAUGACCAGCAACACGGGGACGAGGGCAGGGCCCAGACUCCUCCGGGAGGCAGCAGUGGGGAAUAUUGCGCAAUGGGGGAAACCUGACGAAGCCAUGCCGCGUGAAGGAAGAAGGCCUUCGGGUUGUAAAGUUCUUUCGGUAGCGAGGCGUUAACUACAGAAGAAGCACUGGCUAACUCCGUGCCAGCAGCCGCGGUAAUAC
rnacentral:rRNA from 1 species